GAUGCUCGUGUACUUGAAAAGGAAAAUUUUUACUGUUGCAUGCGUGUGAUGUGCUUGUGGUUCAGAUGCUAUGUUAGAAUUCACUGUUUGUUAUGUGGAUGAUUAAACUGCCUCAUUCGUGGACUUUUCAUGGAUGUUACACUUGUUCACAUUUUUCAGGUGUCAGAUUAGAUAAAAUAUACAUCAUUUAUUCAUGUUGAUUGGUUCAAAGACAUUGAUUUGAUUAUGACUGAUAUGAUCUUAUAUGAGUUUAGAGAUGGUCCAUGUCUAUG
rnacentral:misc_RNA from 1 species